UGAAAAGAAACCUGGAGAGAGAGUCAAAAAGACCGCAAAACCGUUAGGAGGGAAACGAAUGCAGCUAAAGUAGCUCCCCUUCAGGCUCAGGAAGUGUCGAAUCAGCUUGCUGGCCGGUGGAAGCCGCAAGGCUCCAGCGGUUGGACGGCUGGUUGACUGAUCUGCACUCCUGGGGGGAGCUGGCCAACAACAGUUGCCUCUGGCUCACGAGGGUGUUUGGGUAGGUAGCCUCCUCGUCUCGAGGUGGAACUUAUAGCCAUCCAUCUGGCAGUCUGGAGACGACUGAGGAGAGAUGUGAACUUUCACACUUGCAGCACAGGCCCUCCUGGGCCGGGCCGCCUCUUUCCGUUUGGGUACCGCUCCGGGGACUGCAUGCAGUGUCCGCUGACGAAUGCCUGCUUGGUGGGGGGAAUGGUCACGCCUUGUGCUGCAGUUGUUGGUGUCCAAAUGGCUGCAUCCGACCCG
rnacentral:rRNA from 1 species